GUUGAAACACCAGUUCCUGUAUGAUCUCCAAAGUUAAGCAAUGUUGAGCCUGGUCAGUACAUAAAUGGGUGACCACUUUGGAAUACCACAUGCUGUAAG